rnacentral:rRNA from 1 species
UCGCCUGUUUAUCAAAAACAUGGUUUCUUGUCAAGAUAAGAGAUUUAACCUGCCCACUGAUUAAUUAAAUGGCCGCAGUAAUUUGACUGUGCGAAGGUAGCAUAAUCAUUAGUUUUUUAAUUGGAAGCUAGAAUGAAUGGUUGGACGAGGUAAAUACUGUUUUAUAAAAAUGUAUAUUGAAUUUGUAGAUUAAGUAAAAAGACUUAAAUAUAUUUAAGGGACGAGAAGACCCUAUAGAGUUUAAUAAAUAAAUUUUUAAUUGAGUUUAUAAGAAAUUUUUGAUUAUAGGGGUAUUUAUUUUAUUGGGGAGAUAAAAAAAUAAUAAAAACUUUUUUUUAUUUUAAAUUUGUAUAAUUAAUUUAUUGAUCCAUAAAUAGUGAUAAUAAGAUAAAAUUACCUUAGGGAUAACAGCAUAAUUUUCUUUGAAAGUUCAUAUUGAAAAGAGAGAUUAUGACCUCGAUGUUGGAUUAAGAUAAAAUUUGGGUGUAGAUGUUCAAAAAUUAGGUCUGUUCGACCUUUAAAAUCUUACAUGAUCUGAGUUCAAACCGGAGA